GAUGAACGCUGGCGGCGUGCCUAAUACAUGCAAGUCGAGCGAACGGACGAGAAGCUUGCUUCUCUGAUGUUAGCGGCGGACGGGUGAGUAACACGUGGAUAACCUACCUAUAAGACUGGGAUAACUUCGGGAAACCGGAGCUAAUACCGGAUGAUAUUUUGAACCGCAUGGUUCAAUAGUGAAAGACGGUCUUGCUGUCACUUAUAGAUGGAUCCGCGCUGCAUUAGCUAGUUGGUAAGGUAACGGCUUACCAAGGCAACGAUGCAUAGCCGACCUGAGAGGGUGAUCGGCCACACUGGAACUGAGACACGGUCCAGACUCCUACGGGAGGCAGCAGUAGGGAAUCGUCGGCAAUGGGCGAAAGCCUGACGGAGCAACGCCGCGUGAGUGAUGAAGGUCUUCGGAUCGUAAAGCUCUGUUAUUGGGUAAGAACAUAUGUGGACGUAGCUGUGGACAUCUUGACGGUACCGAAUCAAAAAGCCACGGCUAACUACGUG
rnacentral:rRNA from 1 species